GGUGGCUCAGUGGUAGAGCUCUUGCCUUGCAUGCAUGAGGCCCUGGGUUCCAUUCCUCAGCACCA
rfam:Dipodomys ordii contig_37466, whole genome shotgun sequence.